rnacentral:rRNA from 1 species
UACGUAGGGUGCGAGCGUUGUCCGGAAUCAUUGGGCGUAAAGGGCGCGUAGGUGGCCCAGCAAGCGUGCGGUGAAAGCUCGGGGCUCAACCCCGGGUCGGCCGUGCGAACUGCGGGGCUGGAGCACUGUAGAGGCAGGCGGAAUUCCGGGUGUAGCGGUGGAAUGCGUAGAGAUCCGGAAGAACACCGGUGGCGAAGGCGGCCUGCUGGGCAGUUGCUGACACUGAGGCGCGACAGCGUGGGGAGCAAACAGG